rnacentral:misc_RNA from 1 species
AAGUCGUAACAAGGUUUCCGUAGGUGAACCUGCGGAAGGAUCAUUAACACAACGUUAGUUGAGAGGUCUAAACAACUUCUUAACUAAUACACCAACCCGUGAACAUGUAUUUUCACUCUGCUUGUUGAUAUAAGUGGCUUUUAGGUGGGGUAGAUGUCCUCUUUCGGGAGAACAGGCCUAGAAGUCGUUUUACAUGCUUGUAUCAAUGAGUUAAAAGACUACCUUGAUCGCAGAAAUGUGGUCGAACCCCCUUUUUUUAACCCCUUUCACCCCAUAAGUUUAUAUUUGUCUUAUUGAUGUUUAAGUAGAAAUGCUUAAACGCCAUUAUAUCUAACGCGAACAACUCUUAGCAAUGGAUAUCUUGGCUCUG